CCAAACAUAUCCAUAAGUGAAAUCUGUAUAAAAUUUACAAAGUAAUACUCAUCUCCUUCUUCUACCAUCUCAAGUAUCUGGAAAACAAAAACAUAGAAUCUCAUUAGAAAUCCCCAAUAGCUAGUAUUUGAAGAAAUUCAAUCUACUCUUCUUGAAUAAUUUGAUUUCUUGAGCAAGUGGAAGCUAAUUGAGAUUGUUUUGGAAAUUAGAGAAUUCUGGGAUUGAAGAAAUCAAGUAAAAUCUCAUCUCUAUCCUCUUUUGGUAAUAGUUCUUUUGGUAGAAGCUCUUUUUGGUUGGAUUAGUGAAGUAGAUCUUUAAUUUUGGGUGGAUUACAAAGUGCUGAGAAGAAUUUGCUCAAAGGAUAGAUCCAUUUUCAGGUUAGCUCUGCGGUGGAAAGCAUGCCUACAUGUAUUAUGUGUUACUGGCGAGGCGAGGACUUCUUUUGGAAAUACAUUUUGUAAAUUAGUUAUUCGUAAAUUAAAUUGUAAUAAUUUCAUAAUAUUUUGUAAAUAGUAUUUACUUAUUUAGGUAAAAAGUUUUAAAUAACUCUGAUAUUAGUUUGCUGUGAUCAUCGAAUCACAGGUCGAAUUCAGUCCAAACCACUAUAAGUCUUCCAUUGUGUUGUGGACAAUAUUAUUAUACUGUU